UAGGGAAUCUUCCGCAAUGGGCGAAAGCCUGACGGAGCAACGCCGCGUGAGUGAUGAAGGUCUUCGGAUCGUAAAACUCUGUUAUUAGGGAAGAACAAAUGUGUAAGUAACUAUGCACGUCUUGACGGUACCUAAUCAGAAAGCCACGGCUAACUACGUGCCAGCAGCCGCGGUAAUACGUAGGUGGCAAGCGUUAUCCGGAAUUAUUGGGCGUAAAGCGCGCGUAGGCGGUUUUUUAAGUCUGAUGUGAAAGCCCACGGCUCAACCGUGGAGGGUCAUUGGAAACUGGAAAACUGGAGUGCAGAAGAGGAAAGUGGAAUUCCAGGUGUAGCGGUGAAAUGCGCAGAGAUAUGAGGAACACCAGUGGCGAAGGCUACUUUCUGGUCUGUAACUGACGCUGAUGUGCGAAAGCGUGGGGAUCAAACAGG
rnacentral:rRNA from 1 species